rnacentral:rRNA from 1 species
UUGGGCGAGGAGAUUUGAGGAGACAUAUGUUGAAUUGAAUCAUUCGAGCAGCGGACGGGUGAGUAAAGCACAAGGACUUGUCCGAAAGAGAGGGACACCUGCGGGAAACCGGAGCUAAUACCUCAUAAGCCGGAAGGUGAAAAGCAGAGAUGCGCUUUUGGAGAGACUUGUGUCCUAUCAGGCAGUUGGUGAGGUGAAAGCUCACCAAACCGAAGACGGGUAGCCGGACUGAGAGGUCGACCGGCCACAUUGGAACUGAGAGACGGUCCAGACUCCUACGGGAGGCAGCAGUGGGGAAUAUUGGGCAAUGGGCGGAAGCCUGACCCAGCGACGCCGCGUGAGGGAAGACAGCCUUCGGGUUGUAAACCUCUGUUACAGGGGAAGAAGGAAGUGACGGUACCCUGCGAGGAAGCUCCGGCUAACUACGUGCCAGCAGCCGCGGUAAUACGUAGGGAGCGAGCGUUGUCCGGAAUUACUGGGCGUAAAGGGCGCGUAGGCGGCGCUUCAAGUCGUCUGUCAAAUGGAAGGGCUUAACCCUUUUUCGCAGACGAAACUGGAGAGCUUGAGAAGCAGAGAGGCAAACAGAAUUCCUGGUGUAGCGGUGAAAUGCGUAGAUAUCAGGAAGAAUACCAGUGGCGAAGGCGGUUUGCUGGCUGCAUACUGACGCUGAAGCGCGAAAGCCAGGGGAGCGAACGGGAUUAGAUACCCCGGUAGUCCUGGCAGUAAAC